rnacentral:rRNA from 1 species
ACGCUCGACACCUACGGGAGGCAGCAGUGGGGAAUAUUGCACAAUGGGGGAAACCCUGAUGCAGCAACGCCGCGUGAAGGAAGACGGUUUUCGGAUUGUAAACUUCUGUUCUUAGUGAAGAUAGUGACGGUAGCUAAGGAGCAAAGCCACGGCUAACUACGUGUCAGCAGCCGCGGUAAUCUGAGCGGGCUGGCAAGGC